UACGGAGGGUGCAAGCGUUAUCCGGAUUCACUGGGUUUAAAGGGUGCGUAGGUGGGUUGGUAAGUCAGUGGUGAAAUCUCCGGGCUUAACCUGGAAACUGCCAUUGAUACUAUCAAUCUUGAAUACCUUGGAGGUGAGCGGAAUAUGUCAUGUAGCGGUGAAAUGCUUAGAUAUGACAUAGAACACCAAUUGCGAAGGCAGCUCGCUACACGAAGAUUGACUCUGAGGCACGAAAGCGUGGGGAUCAAACAGG
rnacentral:rRNA from 1 species